GCAACCCAAGUGCAGGUGUGCAGAGCCGAGGGGCCUCCUCAUGCUGCCACGGACAUCAGAGGUUUACUUAGGGACCGGAGAGAUGGCUUGCUUAGUCAAGUGCUUGCUACUACACAAGCAUGAGGACUUGAGUUUGGAUCCCAAGCCCCCACACAAGUGUCCCAGCAUACAGCGAGACUCCCAGGAACCUUUCCAUGUGGCUUCAUGGCCAGAUAUCAAGGAAUGUUGCCAAUUCUGAAGAAGCUGACAUAGAAGAUGAAGAUAAUGGGGUAGAAGAAAAGCCAUUCAAAAAUGAACUCCUUGGAAAAGCCUGUUGUUAAUGCGAGGCAGAAGACACUCACCAAGCUCACCGCCCAAGGGCCCAAGUCCAAAAAGCGUCCCAGCAAGUCCAACGCUCUCAGCCGGUGUACCUGGCUUAGCAGCACCUGGAAAAAAGAGAAAGACAUGGAGCCACAGCCGCAGGAAACCAGCUACGGUGUGAGCUGGUGGCCCUGAGGGGUCUGACAAUAAAACCCAACAGCUUUUUUUCUAGCUGGGCUUCUAUCUGUCAAUUCAUUCUUUAGACAGACUGAAAAAAAUGCUUCAUUACCCAAGUAAAAUAUGUCAACUGCACCAAGAAACAGUAUGAGCGCCACGCUGUGCUCAGCAGGCCCCUCACUGCGGCUCUGCUCUCUGUGCAGCAUGGUGCAUCCCACUUCCUUUUUCAGUGUGAUUAUACAUGGUACGGACACUCGGGGCAAUAUUUCUCUCUCCCAGGGGAAGCAGCACAGUGCCCUCUGUGGAAAUGUGCAUGGUUUGUUUAAACGGUUUCCCUAAUGCUAGACAUCACACAUGACUCUGACAAAUGCCUUAAUCUGCACACCUUUUCACAACUGUCUUCUCCUGAGGAUAAAGUGAAGAAGUGAAAUCAGAGGUUCUAACAUCUAUAAUUAAGAACUAGCCGUUGGCUAGACCACCCCACCCUUUUAAUAAGAAGCAUCACCCACAACACUUGCUGGAUGUGACUGAGCAAACAAAGUGUCCGUUGUCUCUGGUUUAUUAACGCUCAGUAUAAGGUCAAUACAAUCCUCAGAACAGACGCAGAGUCUCCUGGGACAGCACUGUCCACUAUCAACAUUGAAUAUAAACACAAGUGUCAUUAUCGAAGCCUAUGGGAACGAUAAAAAAUACUGCUAUUUUUCCCCCCAACAGCACAUUUUCUGUCUCUUCUAUUGAUUAAAACCUUUUAAAAAA